AGGGAAUCUUCCGCAAUGGACGAAAGUCUGACGGAGCAACGCCGCGUGAGUGAUGAAGGUUUUCGGAUCGUAAAACUCUGUUGUUAGGGAAGAACAAGUACGAGAGUAACUGCUCGUACCUUGACGGUACCUAACCAGAAAGCCACGGCUAACUACGUGCCAGCAGCCGCGGUAAUACGUAGGUGGCAAGCGUUGUCCGGAAUUAUUGGGCGUAAAGCGCGCGCAGGCGGUCCUUUAAGUCUGAUGUGAAAGCCCACGGCUUAACCGUGGAGGGUCAUUGGAAACUGGGGGACUUGAGUGCAGGAGAGAAGAGUGGAAUUCCACGUGUAGCGGUGAAAUGCGUAGAGAUGUGGAGGAACACCAGUGGCGAAGGCGACUCUUUGGCCUGUAACUGACGCUGAGGCGCGAAAGCGUGGGGAGCAAAC
rnacentral:rRNA from 1 species